AUUGAACGCUGGCGGCAGGCCUAACACAUGCAAGUCGAGCGCGCGGCGGACGGGUGAGUAAGGUCUGGGAAACUGCCUGAGGGAGGGGGAUAACUAUUCGAAACGCUAGCGAAUAUCCCAUACACUACGGUGUGCCCCCAUGGGAUGAGCUAGUAGAUGGGGUAACGGCUCACCCAGGCGACGAUCCCUAGCUGGUCUGUGAGGAUGACCAGCCACACUGGAACUGAGACACGGUCCAGACUCCUACGGGAGGCAGCAGUGGGGAAUAUUGCACAAUGGGCGCAAGCCGGAUGCAGCCAUGCCGCGUGUAUGAAGAAGGCCUUCGGGUUGUAAAGCACUUUCAGCGGGGAGGCGUUACCCGCAGAAGAAGCACCGGCUAACUCCGUGCCAGCAGCCGCGGUAAUAC
rnacentral:rRNA from 1 species